UCAUGAUAGUGCACGCCCACUCUUAUCGUUGUGGGCGCUUUAUCGCACGCUUGGUUAUCUAGUUUCUUCGACGACGCGCGGAGGACACUGCUCGCGUCAUAUCGGGAGGCUUCGAUCUACACUCGAAACGGGCGCCGUGGGCGCCGGAGGAUAAACCAACGUCGCGUGCCUGCUGCUUGAAAGCCGGCCGGAAGUUGUUGCUGUGGUUGCGAUGCGCAGCUAGGGUCUUGAGAACCGGUAGUUUCUGUUCUGCUGUUUUCCGUUGGUGCGCUCUUGACAUGUCAACAGAACGAUCACGUUGUGGAAGGCCGAACUAGUGUAAUCUGCGCGUUAAACUCACGGGACUAUGCGUCACCGAGCCGCGGGCGAUAAGGUUUAAUCCUGCACGCGUUUGAGUGCCCGAGUAAUACCGUGCCCGCACGUGCGCAACGUCGUGAUAUGCGCGAUUUCAUGCGUGAAAACGGAUCGACCACCUGUGGAGUGAUGCUGCCAGACGCGCGUUUGUUCUCCCUCGUAUUGUGAGUGCUGCUCUUUGCGCAGUGGCAUGUCCAGAAACGAGGACGAUGAGCCAAAUGCAGGAGAGGAAAGUGAGCCGGGAAUUGAAAGAGGCGUGGCACAGAUUCAUCGCCGCGCCGAGCCGGAGUCGAGAGUUGCAGAGUCAAUUGCUUGACACUUUCCUGGUGAAGCUAAUUGUCGAGUACCGGGAUGUGCCAAGCUCUGUGCAACUCACGGAGUGGGUCACUGCAGGCAAUGUACUGGCUCACCAACUCAUGCUUGAAGUGCACGAAGCCUGCAGCGGUGAUGACCCCGCACCAUGCCGUGAAUUCCUGCUCGCUGGGCGUGGCUGGAAGCUUCUGUGGGCCCUGGUUCGCAUUGGCUCCCAGUCCCUGCCCUGCUGCAAGGAAUUAUCCAGGGUUGCAAUAUCCCUCUUGUCAUUCUUCUCCAAGUUGGAAGAGCCAUGGUCUCAAGGAACCUUCGAAUGGGAAUUUGAAGAGAAGGAGCUUAUGGCUUGCUCUGUCACCACGACAAGUCCCGCCAAGGCCAGCCUGAAACAUCGCCGAUGUCGGCAGAAGCCCCGCUUGGACUCUUCGUCAGACAGUUCCGACUCAACAGACUCGGACCAUAUGGAAGUGCCUUCACCUCUGCUGCGAACAUCUACAGCCCUGUUUCUAUCGAACAAAGAUCCAUUGGAAUCUGCCAGUGAGGGAUGGGAGGACCGUCUGUACUUGCGUCGGAGCGCACCGCUUGAAGACACGCUCACCGACGAGGAGGCUAAGAUUGUUGGUGCGCGUGUUGCUCCAUCAUUUCUGCUGAACUGUCUCGUCACUCUUUUGACCCAGUCUUGUCGGGGGGCAGUUCACAAGGGCGAUCGCUGGCAAGCCAUUGCAACUUCCAUAUCGGGCCUCUGUCUCCCCGGUGCACUGGAGCUCUUCAACAGUCUUUCCUAUUCGCCUCCAGCUGGCUCACAGCUGAAGCAGCUGCUUGGGCAGCCCACUUCCAAAUCUCUUCAACAAAAGGUCCUGCGCCUCAUCGUCACCGCAACAUCACAGCUUCUUCGCGCUGGCUGUGGCUACUCGCAUCAGUCCAUUCGCAAGUACCGUGUCCUCCUGACUCUUCUUGACACCUGCCAGCCUGCGUUGGAUGCUGGGGACUCACAGUCUGUGGUGGAAAGCAUGUGUGCCGCACUGCUAUUCAUCCGCGAUGCGGUUCGUGCUUUUCCUUUCUCGGAGGGCAGCUUGAACUGGAUUGUGGAAGCCGUGCACAGGCUCUGCACUCACAACAGCCUGCAGGUCACUCUGUGCGCCUCCGAUCGUUCAUCCUGCACCAUCAUCGGAGAGCUCCUUGCUGACAUCAUCUUGUCGCUGAAGCGUGCUAAGAGUGCGCGAAGACAGGGCGUUGCAUUUCAUCAUCACGACAUGCUUCUGGGGACGCAGCUCAGGCAUAGCAUGUCUGAACCUUUGUCAGGAUGUUGCAUUGCGUCCCUGUGCAUCGUCCUUCUCAAUGCACCGUUCCUGUCUACGCAAGCCUUGUUGCGCUGUGGCGUCUGCUGCUGCAUGGCGCUCGACGAAGUCUUUGUGCCACUGCUUCGGGACUUUGGCUCGCAGUCCGCAGAAGACAAACACCAGAUCUUACAGCUGCUCCAAAAGUACCUCUGCGCGCAGAUGGGCCUCUUCUCACAAGCAUGCUUCAGCUGUCGGGAACGCCAGGACAGGGGAGAAAACAUGUGCAUGGCAUAUUCCUCGCUGCUCAGUCACGGGGACACGGAAACACAGACCCUGGUUGGCCGGCAUUUGCUCGCCAUGAUGGAAGCGGCGCGGCCACCAUUUCGUGACCUGAUCUGCACCCAAGUGGCCUUGCCUUGUUUCCUAGAGUUUGACUUUGCAAAUGCAACCAGUGCAGAACCAGAACUGAACCCACUGUGGUUCUCGGUGUCCGCUUUUUCGCUUUUAGGGGCUGACGCUUCCAUGGCAUUUCCUGCCAAAAGUGUGCAGAUGAAACGUUUGUACAAACUGCUCUCGCCUUCGGUUGCCCCUAUUUACAGGCAUGCUGCUUUGGUUCUGAUAGAAACCCUCAUUCUUGCCUACGUGAACAGCAUCAAGACAGAUGAAGAAGGGGCAGAAGAGAGUGGCAGUACUGAAAAUAGCCUGAUGCAGUCUACCAGUGACACGGAGUCCAAUGCGCUGUCAACCUUCACGCAGUUUCUGGCUGCCGAGACGAAGGAAUUUAUGCGUAAGGUGAGGCCUCUUCUGACGAUGCAGUCCAUGGAGUCCCUGAGCGAGUCUGCCACUGAGGAGGCCUUGGACGUGGACUCGACCUCCACCCAGGAGGCGGAACUGUCGACACUAGCUGAGCUCUGGCUUUCCUGUCGCCGUGUGGCACAGUGCAGUGCCGUGCGAUCUCAUCUGAGGAUAGGCAACUGCUGCGCAGAGGCGUAUCGGUUCCUGCUCUGGCUCACCGAUGAGACGGUGCGACCUGAUCCAUGCUGCCGGAAAGUGUUUCCAGCACUUGAGACUAUGCUCGCAUUGCUUCUUCAGUUGUGUCCAGUGCGACUGUGGUACCAGUCCGAGUGUCUCCAGCGCAAGGAGAUGGUACGAGAGCUGCGCAACCGCCUGCACGGUUGUCCCAGCGUGAACCGCACAGCGGCCGAGUGGCGCUGCCUUCUUGAUGCUCUGCUGAGCAACCUUGUGCACUGGACACGAGUGCCCACUCUUUCGAGCCGCCCGAAGGUGGACAGCAGCCUAGUCUCACGUGCAGCCCUACUUCGAAAGGAGCCCAACUCGGCUUCCCUUGUGCCGGCAGUGGACGAUGAGCUUGGCUAUGAAGCUGACUCUGAAUCAAGUCCCGAUGACUAUGCAGCUUCAGAAGGGAUGCUGUCUGUUUCACGAGAAGGUGGGGACAUGUCGGUGAUGUGCUACGAAGAAGUGUGCUCCCUCGUGCUGGACCUGGUGUGCCGUCUCUGCCCGACCCGUGCAGAAGUGGCGUUGCAUGCCAUCCAAAGGCUGACCACCCUCUGCUCCCAACAUCCAAUGCUCCUGACGCUCUUUGUCAAGCAGGGCGCUGUGGGGAAGCUCUGCCAUGGCCUUGGCUGCCUUCUGCACCUGCCUGACCAGCCUGACCUGGUGGAGCAUCAUACCCUAGAGCUGCAGGAGAGCCUGGUGUCCUUGUUGGUGCUCUUCUGUCGGCGCAGCCUCAGUGCCCAGGACCUCGUGGCUUACAUGGGUCUGCUCAAAGGAACUCAAUCAGCUUUUGGCCCCAUACUGAAAGGCCUUCUGGCCCUUGCCAGCUGUGGAGACCGUGGGCCGCAGUGCUGGCUGCAGUUCCCGCCACUGGCAGCAGAUGACGAUGAGGUCACGCUCUUGCCCACACCACAGCAGAAUGAAGAAGAAAGAGGCAGGCAGUUGGCCGAUCUUCCUCAUGGAGGGGCAUCUAACCAGGCUGUGUUGGUGCUGCCACUGGAAGAUCAUGGCGGCUGGUGUCCUCGCCAAGAAGGCUUCUCUCUGGCCUUCUGGCUUGCCCUACGCUGGAGCUCGGUCCUCGGCCACGAAGGCAGCUCCCGACUGCACCUGGUUUCCCUGGGCUGCGGCCCAUUCCUGUGCGAGCUAUGGGCUGAGGACGUGGAGAAGGGCACAGUGUCCUUGUGGCUGACGCAGGAUGGCACCAGUGUGGCAGAGAGUGCCGCCUGCAACGCCGCAUCCCAGUGCAGCUUUGAGAGGGUGCUGGCGGGCCAUGGUUGGCACCACUUGGCUCUCACCUACCACGAGCACAUGUCGCAAAGCACCAGUGAAACAGGCUGUUAUGCUUUGGUGACAUUAACAGUCGACGGUCGUCACAGUCGUUCCUGGCAUCUGCCCCUGGAAGGACAGGGUGGUGACAGUUGCUUGCACCAGCCAGGACCAAUGCUUCUGAUUGGCCAAAGUGCAGGCACCGGCACGUCGGUGGCUCUGGUCGGUGGUGGUGUGUCGUGGAGCCUUGGAAACCUGCUCCUCUUCCGAGGCUCUUGCCUUGGAUCAGCUGAGUGCCUAGCUCUCUACUCAAGAGGCGCUGAUGCUGUUGUGCCCACCUCCUGCAUCCUGAGUGAAGAUGAAGAGUCGGCUAGAAUCGACAUCAGCCCCAGACUGGUGCGCAAGGGUUUCCUCAAGAAGAAGUGGCCGGGGCCCAGCCAGUUUCGUGAAGUGCUGGCUGCACUGGAGGAUGAGAUCAUGGCGUGGUUUUCACCUCAAAGAAGUGACUCCUUUGUCAGUUAUCCACACAGCUCACAGGCCUUUUCAUCAUUCCUGGCGGCAUCCAAGAAGCGCAAGCGAAGUGGAAUUCCUCAGUCCAAGGCCGCACAUCGGCUCUCGCCUGUCCAGCUGCAGUGGCAAAGGCAGCUCCAUCAUGCAGCGGCCAGCCUUGGAGGCCCCGGUCUGUUUCUGUUCCUUCUGGCUAGGGUAGUGGAGUGCACAACAGAAGACGGCCCCCAGGCAGCUGCUCUGGAGUUGGCCCUGGGCAUGCUAGGGCAGCCCAGUGCAACCUGGGGCACCCCAAGAAUCCUUGUAGGUGCAAAUGAGGCGCUCAAUCUUCUAGGGCAACUGGUUGAGAAUCACCGAUGGGCGGCUGACUCACCGCGCUGUCUCCUGGUGGCGGUGAACGCGUGCAGCAGCCGUCCCUUGCUGCAGUGGGAUGGGGAAGGCAGCGCGGAAGCAGUACGACACCCAACGGGUCAGGAGCCAUUGCUCGUGUGGCCCCAGCUGGCUGGCACGCUCCUCGAGCACUGGCGGCCGGGGCCUGGCCGACAACGUCUGCUGGGUGCCAUGUGGGCGCUGCUGCGCGAGCGUCAUCCGCACCGUGACCACAACCUGGCACAGGCGGCGCCCCUGCUGGGUUCCCUGCUCAUUGCACUCAGGCGCCUGCUUGUGGAUGAGAGUCAGGGCAGCCUGGGCCCUCCCGGCACUCUGCCGCUGGUACUCAAGCUCUUAGGCGCUCUGGUACCAGCAGCUGGGGAAUUGGCACAGCGGCUCAGUGCCUGCCUCGACCUGUUGCUGCUGCUUCACCGUGCUGCCAAUGCUCAUGUGGCUCAGGGACGCUCGUCCUUCUACUCCUUGCCUCCGCGAGACUGUGCUCCAACCGCUGCAGGUUUUUCUAUCGUGGAGACCAGUCGCACAGCUCCAUCGUCGCUUGCAUCGAGUCCACUAUCAGGAAGCUUUGGCCAUCUUCUUGGGAUGGUCUCACGGUCAGCACCUAAUCAGGGAAUCAGGAAAGUCAAAGAACCUGAUGCUCCGAAGGUUGUCAAGGUUCGUCCCAAUGCCGUGCCAGCCGAGCUGUACAACAACCUCGACGGCAACAGCUUGGUCGACGCGAACUUGGCAUCUCUUCACGGAGAGCCGCCUCAGCCAUGCCCGGCCCUGGUCAAGCCAGGACCAAAGCCAACGGCCACUGAAGCAUUGAGCUUAUUGCUCUCCGGAGAGAUCGAAGCCAGUGGCCAAAGCCACGACAGGACUGAUGAGCAGCCGAGGGUUAGCUGCCCAUUUGAGAGCAGCAUUCGGCAUCCCAUGACGUCAUCGCCUGUGCCCUUGUCGCCCAACCCGUGGGUGGAGGUGGAAGAAGAGCAGGUGGAAGUUGAGGACGACAUGACCGGGCUUGUGCUUGGCCUCCUGAAGUUGCUGCAGGAUAUCUUGGCGGCCACUCCAGAAAAUGUGGUUCGUGAGAAACUUGAACCGGUUGUUCAACUGGAGGCACUACUAAUCUUGGCUCAUAACGAGAACGCAUUGGUUCGCAACCAGGUUCUGUGUGUGCUGGAGGUGUACCUGAGCAAGGUCUCUGGGGAGGUGGAGGCUCGCUUCCUCAAGGCGCGAGGCUUUCAGCUGCUCGGUCUACAGCUGGCCCAGUACCCAGCCACCGCAGCCUUGGUCCAGUCGUGCUGCCGUAUCUUGCUGGGCCGACCCCUAUAUCUGGCCAGAAAGAUACCACAUGGCAGUGUGCCGGACCAGGCCUCGAACCGGGCGUCUGUCACCCUCCUGCUGUCGCUUCUGCCCCGAACGGUGCAUGAUCCCGUCCUGUGCUGCGGGACGCUUUCGCUGCUGCAACAGCUAUGUGACAACAUAGAAGGGGCAGCACGUCUCCUUUAUUCCAAUGGACUGGGUGAAUCACUGGCGUCGAUGAUCGUGGCUGCGCCAAGACAGCUCCUCCUCAGCCGAAGUUCAAGUACGGGACAUGGAGAAGGCUUUGUGGACUUAGUGCUGGCUGUCAUCAGAAGUGCCUCUCUUGCAACAGCGAGGCUUGCGAUGGAACAAAGCGGCAAGAUCUCGAUGGAGUGCUUCCAUUCACUGUGCAGCCUCUUCGCACGGCUGUCUGAAGCACACAACACACACUGUGGCGAGGCUUGCAAAGCUGUGCCCUUAUUCAGGGAGUGCCAAGCAAAGUUGUAUCUGUCGGUCCUGGAACAUAUUGAGAGUUUCUGCACUGACGAAAAAAGAAGCCAGUCAUCACCAUCGCUUCUGGAGGCGUUUGCUUCCCUUCCAACGCCAAUCAUGGCAGAUGUGGCACCAUUGUCACCGGACAUCCAUCACGGUGGACGGCAUCUGAACUACUCUGAUACGAACGGACCAUCACGCGAAUUCGUUACUCCUUCCACAUCGUCCCUGUCACGAGAGCUGGGGGCCUGGUUCGCCCUUGCCUGCGACUUUGUCAUAUAUCAAGAGCUGUCUUGUGAGAGACCACCUACAGAGCUUUCACUGGUUGCCACACUGUUGAGAAAUGCAGUUGCCGGUACAGCCUUAAGUCACCUCAGCAAAAAAUCAAAACGCAAGCUUUCGUCUCGCGAAAGGGUGCUGUCUUCUCUGAAGCACGUGUUUCAGCCUCAGCUGUCGAGGCUUUGUGUCAACCUUCUCGCCCCUGGCCAACAUGCUGCUUUGCGCAUCCACGUGGUAGAGGUGCUCAUGUCUUGCGAGCAGCACAGGCAAGCCCUCAAGACGACUUUGGGAUCAUCGAGUGAUGUUCGCCUGCAAGUGAGGACCUUUGUGCAAGAGUUGCUGAGUGGAUCGGCAGCCCGUUGUGAUGCCAGUAUAGGCAGCACAGUCGUGUCAUUGGUGGCCGUAUUGGCUCAGGAGCUGCCCAGCGUCAUGCCGAGAAAUCCCAGGCAGGAGGUUCAUGCCAACGAGGAGCAGAUCAAAGAACGCUGGUUGAACCAGUGGACGGCCCAGCGGGAAACUUGGCUUUCACAGACUGCUCUCGGUCCAGACUGCAAGAAUGGCCGGCUGCGGAAGCUCGAGGCCAAGGCGUCACAGGUGGUUGCCGAAGGAGCCAAGGUGACUCGGUCAGUUGCAGAGCUGCUGCAUGCACUUCGCAAGGAGGUUCUACAUGAAGCUAAGGCGAGGUCGGGGCGAGACUUGGUGCUCAAGCAGACGUGGUCUCGCCUGGCUGCUCAGCUCACACAUGAAAGGGCACCAUGGCACCUGCCUGAGAGCUUCCCAACCGCCUGGGAGCUGGACCCAACAGAAGGACCAUCGCGAAUUCGUCGACGCCUCCGGCGAGCCUUCUUGGCCGUUGACCCCAAGUUCAUAAUACCUCAGCACCGGAAAAGCCAGAAGGCGACGUUGCCACCUCUGCACUUUCUCUACGACACGGACACCUCGCGCAUGGAGUCUGCCGCCUUCUUGCACCAUCUGUACAUCAAUGAAAGGAUCACCCACACUUGCAAAUGCAUCAAGAUCUGCCCCUCGUCAGACAUGCCCGGAGAAGUACUGCUUGGUGAAACCAGUCUCCAGUUCGUGCCUGACCAACUCGGAAAAUACAAGGGAUCCUUGGGCGAAGUUGACGCCAGGCACGAGGUGUGGCCUUACAAGGACGUUCAGGAAGUUCUCUUGCGAAGGUUUCGACUCCGUGACAACGCGCUUGAACUUUUCCUCCGCAAUGGAGUCACUGCAUUGCUAGCCUUUCACACAACACAGGAUCGGAAUGAAUUUUGCCGCCAGCUGUGGCAGUGCCCUCACCUGGAUCUGGAGCCAUCAGAAUCGCUGGAAUCGCUCAGUCAUCGAUGGCAGGAGAGGUGCCUGGGCAACUUUGACUACCUUACGCAGCUGAACAAGCUGGCUGGCCGCUCAUUCAAUGACCUCAUGCAGUACCCGGUGUUCCCAUUUGUGCUUGCAAACUAUGCUGAUGACAUACUGGACUUUCAGGAUUCCGCCAGCUUUCGGUGCUUGGAGCGUCCCAUGGCCGUGCAGGAUCUAGCUCGCGAAGAGCACUACCGGCGCAACUUCCAUGUGGAACGGGCAAGUGCUCCGUCAGAGCGGCUCCAUCCGUGGCUGGGUCCAUUUCACUACGGUUCGCACUAUAGCAACAGCGGCACAGUGCUCCACUUCUUGGUCCGACUGCCACCUUUCACCCAGAUGUUUCUUGCCUACCAAGACCAGCAGUUUGACCUUCCCGAUCGCACGUUCCACAGCGUUCACACGACCUGGAGACUGGCAAGCAGCGAGUCCACAACCGACGUCAAGGAACUGAUUCCCGAAUUUUUCUUCCUGCCCGAGUUCCUUGUAAACAUGCAGGGUGUGAAAUAUUGACCUUGCAAUUGAAACAUCAUGUACAGAACAGCUUCAGAGCCAACUUUACAAUGUUUUGACUAUGGCAAGCGGCAGACAGGUGAAUCCGUCUCCGACGUGCUGUUGCCUCCUUGGUGCCGCGGGGACCCACGCCUCUUCAUCCUGAUCCACC
rnacentral:misc_RNA from 1 species